ensembl:lncRNA
UUCGGGAGUGGGUGCCUCUUUCAUCAGCUCUGAACAUUGGUCUCUGGUUCCUUCAGCCUUACGAUACACACUUGCACCAGCAACUCUCUGGUGGGCUUCUAGCCUUUGACCUUGGACUGGUGCCGUAUCCUCCAUCCCUCUGGUUCUGCAGCUUUCAUCUUCUUGGGCUGAGAAGCUACUGGAUUCUCUGUGCCUCAGCAAGCAGACAGCCAUUGUGGAUUCACCUGCCUCUGAUCCUGUAAGCUACCUAAUGACAUAUUUAAAGAGCAAGAGGAUUCAGAAGAUCGCAACAAAGUGAGAGUAAAGUUUAUUUGCAGAAGGAAGUGACACAAAGCCUCUCUGAGGAGCAGGGGAACCUGGAGCUGAGUCACCACUGAAUCUGAGACUGUGGUCCUAUUUUAUGGAGUAGGGCCCUGUCUCCACUCCCGUCUUCACUUCCACUUGAUUGGUUGGAUAUUGGGCUUGCUGCUAGGGGUGUGGGUAUUGGGGGCUAAUCAGGGGACUUGGGGAGGCACAGCGACCUGCACUAGGAGGGACAGUGCUGCCUGCACAGAGGAAGGUGCUAAGCCACAACCUGUCAACUUCAGAAGAAAAACCACAAAACUGCUGAAAACCUGCUCAUCUUUUAUAGAUACUUCAGGCUGCUUUUUCUAAGCUCCUAAAAAGGCCUUGGUCUUUUAACCCUGCCCAGGGCUCCCUUCUACUCCUGCAAUAGAUUAUUUUGCUAAUGUUUUGACAGCAGCCCCAUUGACCAAUAUGUUUUAUGCAAACAGAAUGGGAGCACAGAUAACUGGCAAUCAUGUUUUUGGUACCCACUGGAGUCUCCCCAUUUGAAGCUGACAGAGUCCCUGCUCAUGGGACAAACGUCGACUUGGGCACGUGGAAAGGGCUGUCUGGCUAUUCUGCAUUCAGCCUUCGCCACCCACCUCCUACCGGCAGGUACUCACAGCUUUCAGUAUAUCCCUACCUAUGCGAUCCCAUGAAGACCAUCUACCUGAAUACUUACCCAAAAGUGUUAGAACAUGCAUGACUCAAAGCUUGGCCCAAAGCAGUCCCACAGUAAAUGUCUCCAGUGCGGUAAGACCCAGAAUAUGUUCUUUUCACAAGCCCACCAGGGAGCUCUACAAUCCGGCAGGCUUGGGAAACUGGCUUGACACAAGCACAUUCAUGUGGAAUAACAGAAAUAAAAAGAUUGGGUAAGAGGUUGGGAAGAGUUCACUGAUGGAUUUCAGCCACCCAGGUGUAAUGGGGUGGGAAGAGGCAUGGCAGACGAUAUGAAGGAAACCACUCCACAAAUAAUAACUAGUUUGGGCGAGUGGGAAAGGCUGAGGGGCAGAGUUUCCACCCAGAAGAACCAGAAAAAUCUCACUGAGUAAUCACCUAAACAAAACCAAAGAGGCAAAAGGAAAUAUUGUGUGGGUCUUCGGAGUAAUAGAGAUGGAAGAAAACAGCUGGAAAUUGGUCCUUUUUAUGUUAAGUAAGUAGUGAUUUCUUUUAAAGGAAGUACCAUGAAGAAUAACAGCAAUCCCCCAUGCUUACGGAGGGGCUCCAGACACAAUAGCCUUCUGAGAAAGGUUGACUUGCUGAACCCUAGAAAUAAAGCUUUGAAAUACAGUCAACCAAUGUGCACAUCAACCACAAACUUAAUCCUAGUGCCUCAGAUGUCCCUACGACAUCCAAAACAGUCCAUUCCACAUUUCAACUGCCUGGAUCACAGGUCUUAUUCUAUUACACAAUCAUUUCUCAUCAGUCUCACUUGAGACUACGUGAGAAUUAGAGUAAAUCCAUUUGUAACACACCUUAAAACUUACAUAAAGAACAAACCAUAUGAGUCAUGUCCCUUGCUACCUGAUUUAACGCUUGGAAGCCUUUUUACAUAAACAUCACCUUGUGCUGGAAGCUUUUUGUGCUUAGUCCCAAGUUCCAAGCUAAAGCACCCAUGAGACUCUGUAGCUGAAAUAUUAACUUGUUCAUCCAGUACACAGCAGAGUUCAAUCAUCUCUCUUGUGGACUAUUCUUGACCUUGCCUUGCCUGCCUCACUCAACUGACAUUUUCAUGGCCAGUGGAGACCAGAGCGCUUCUGGAGGAACAGUGAGUAUGUGUAUGACCCGUCCAGCCUCGUGAACUCAUCUACAACUUGGUGAUAGCACCGGUGUCCCACUGAUCUUGGGGAAUACAUCUUCCUUCUUCCCAGAUGUAACUGUCCCAUCUUUAAAGUGAGGUUGACCAGAGGAAUGUCAAACCCUAAAUAGUUGGCCGAGCUCUGUUCUUCAUACACACUCACAUGUAAAGCUCAUGCUCAAGUUUUAUUCUUUAUCUUCUGGACCAAGGCUCAAAGGGGGCUGCUUUGCACCCACUUCUAUGAAAAGAUCCAGACACAGCUCAUGACAUCCAGGACCAUGGACAAUCCUAGGCCCAUCUGGAGUCAUGGUAUUUCUCAGUCUUCCUCACAAAGCCAACUGGAAAAGCUGUCAGUGGCUUACUAACACAUAGUGGGCAUUUAAUAGAUAUUUUCUUAGUGGAUGGAUUAGAAGGCCUAAGUAGAUGAGUAAGUG